GAUGAACGCUGGCGGCGUGCCUAAUACAUGCAAGUCGAGCGAACAGACGAGGAGCUUGCUCCUCUGACGUUAGCGGCGGACGGGUGAGUAACACGUGGAUAACCUACCUAUAAGACUGGGAUAACUUCGGGAAACCGGAGCUACUACCGGAUAAUAUAUUGAACCGCAUGGUUCAAUAGUGAAAGACGGUUUUGCUGUCACUUAUAGACGGAUCCGCGCCGCAUUAGCUAGUUGGUAAGGUAACGGCUUACCAAGGCAACGAUGCGUAGCCGACCUGAGAGGGUGAUCAGCCACACUGGAACUGAGACACGGUCCAGACUCCUACGGGAGGCAGCAGUAGGGAAUCUUCCGCAAUGGGCGAAAGCCUGACGCAGCAAUGCCGCGUGAGUGAUGAAGGUCUUCGGAUCGUAAAACUCUGUUGUUAGGAAAGAACAAAUGUGGAAGUAACUAUGCACGUCUUGACGGUACCUAAACAGAAAGCCACGGCUAACUACGUG
rnacentral:rRNA from 1 species